UUUCUAUGCCUCUUCCUGACCUUCUGGCUGUGAUUUUUUAACUCUCUCUCACAUUACUACACAUUCGCUCUGUGCAUCAUGUCUUGUUGGCCUUGAACCCUUGCCCUUUGGGUUUUUCUGAUUAUUGAGUUCAGAAAGUCCAGGUUUUAACUCCAUUACGAGAAAAAAAGGUACAUACCUGCUGCGCGCAUGUACCAUCGUUUGGCAAGGUCCAUAUCUUGCUUGACUCCGAUACCAAUUUCAGUGUAAUCUGCAAAACAUGUUAGGCAUGGCUGGCGAGAUGAGACAAUUUGACUUACAGCCCACAGCAUACUCCGCUUUUGCAAGGCCCUUAUUGGCAGCUUUUCGUCCCCACAGGUAGGCUUCCGUAUCCGACUGUUUCAACACUCCUUCUACAAAGUCUGUCAGUCACUGUUACGAGGGAACAACAGCUACCACUUACCGCUACCUGUAAGAUACCAUCCACUCAAUGCCAGCUCUGCCUCACUAUCACCCUUUUCGGCCGCGCGAGUAUACCAUGCGAUACUUCUCCUUGGAUCAAUCGGACAUCCAAGAUGUCCAAACUCGUGACAUUGCCCCAGCUUGAACUGCGCAGGCGGAUAAUUC
rnacentral:sRNA from 1 species